GAUGAAGAACGCAGCGAAAUGCGAUAAGUAAUGUGAAUUGCAGAAUUCAGUGAAUCAUCGAAUCUUUGAACGCACCUUGCACUCCUUGGUAUUCCGAGGAGUACGCCUGUUCGAGUGUUAUGAAGCUCUCAAAACGCAAUUGGCUUAAAACCUGAUUGUUGUUUUGGAUUUGAACUUUGCCGUGUUAUAACGGCUGGUUUUAAAAGUAUUAGCUGGUACUAGAACGAAUUGGUUCUACUCAACGUGAUAAUUAUCUGAUCGUUGAGGACAUUCCUUUCACGAGGAAUGGCAAUAGUAAAUUCAAUGGACUGCUUCUAAUCUGGCUUUAAUUCUUUAUUGGAUUAACCACUUUUCAAAUCUGACCUCGAAUCAGGUGGGACUACCCGCUGAACUUAAGCAUAUCAAUAAGCGGAGGA
rnacentral:misc_RNA from 1 species